rnacentral:rRNA from 1 species
UACAGAGGUCUCAAGCGUUGUUCGGAUUCAUUGGGCGUAAAGGGUGUGUAGGUGGCGCCGUAAGUCGGGGGUGAAAUUUCGGAGCUUAACUCCGAAACUGCAUUCGAUACUGCGGUGCUUGAGGACUGGAGAGGAGACUGGAAUUCAUGGUGUAGCAGUGAAAUGCGUAGAGAUCAUGAGGAACACCUGAGGUGAAGACGGGUUGCUGGGCCGACACUGACGCUGAGUGCGCGAAAGCCAGGGGAGCAAACGGG